rnacentral:rRNA from 1 species
UGGGGAAUCUUCCGCAAUGGACGAAAGUCUGACGGAGCAACGCCGCGUGAGUGAUGACGGCCUUCGGGUUGUAAAGCUCUGUUAAUCGGGACGAAUGGUUCUUGUGCAAAUAGUGCGAGGAUUUGACGGUACCGGAAUAGAAAGCCACGGCUAACUACGUGCCAGCGGCCGCGGUAAUACGUAGGUGGCAAGCGUUGUCCGGAAUUAUUGGGCGUAAAGCGCGCGCAGGCGGAUUGGUCAGUCUGUCUUAAAAGUUCGGGGCUUAACCCCGUGAUGGGAUGGAAACUGCCAAUCUAGAGUAUCGGAGAGGAAAGUGGAAUUCCUAGUGUAGCGGUGAAAUGCGUAGAUAUUAGGAAGAACACCAGUGGCGAAGGCGACUUUCUGGACGAAAACUGACGCUGAGGCGCGAAAGCCAGGGGAGCGAACGGGAUUAGAUACCCCGGUAGUCUUGGCCGUAAACGAUGGGUACUAGGUGUAGGAGGUAUCGACCCCUUCUGUGCCGGAGUUAACGCAAUAAGUACCCCGCCUGGGGAGUACGACCGCAAGGUUG